CCCUGCCUGUCCGUUCUCGUUCCCAAGGCCCAGACAGCCGGUUUGACAGCCAGUGACAAGUGCAACUGGAUCUGCUGCUGUCCAUCACAGCAGAGCUCUGUCCUCCCACCAGAAGCCUCCCGGCCAGGACCAAACAAGGCAAGGCCCAGCUCUGCAGCAUGGAAGCAACUGAUGGAGAAAGCAGCAAGUGAUCAGAGGAAAACACCACACAAAGGUGGAAGAGCCGCAGCUGCCACUGCCAGCAUGGUAUCAGUGGGAUGGCCACAGGUCUGAUGCAAGAUGACACAAACAAAAACACUCAAGCACAAAACUUUGAACACAAACUGGGACCCCAAGUGUCUCCUCGUCUGCGUUUGCCGGGGUCAGCGCAGCUGCUGGAAAGAGAUCCUCUUGCUAUGUAAACCCGAGCAAAGCGUCUGAUGACUUUUUCAGCCUUUGAGAAGAAGGAUGAGUGCAACAGUCACAGAUCUGAUCCUGCUGCUGUGAAACAGCACUUAGUGAUGGUGUGCCUCGACAAAAGCCCUGCAUCCGUUGGCUUUAAGCCUGUUUCUGAGAGCUCCCGUAGUCCAACAGCUGGUGUCUGUAUUUAAAGAGCGCUGCGCUGGAGUAUGCUGCACGAGGGCCAUUGACACACUGAUCCUCAAAAACAUGAAGGGCGCUCUGCUGUGUGCCCCCAUGCCACAGGCUCUGAACACAAACACACACACACACACACACACACACACACACACACACACACACACACACACACACACACACACACACACACACACACACACACACACACACACACACACACACACACACACACACACACACACACACACACACACACACACACACACACACACACACUGGUAUAAAUAGACGCGUCUGUUUUCUUCUAUAGAGAAUAAAACACACAAACAAACUCCAUGCUUCUGAGCUGAAGAAGGACUCAAAUGUAGCUGAAGUUUCCCACGGCACUAAAGGCAAUACACACACACAACUAGUGUCGUGUUGUGGCACUUGAAGAGUCCAAACUCUCAGCCAUGUCUAAGUGUGUGAUGAAGGGAGGAGAACAGAGGAGGAGGAGGAGGGUAAGGGGAGCAUCCUGUCCAUCUGCUCCCAUCGUGGGAUUAUAGACAGUUGUUUAAUCUGACCAGCUUCAGGGAUGGGGCAUUCACACACACACCAUGCUCUGGAUUUCACUUUAAUACAUUAGGAAUUCUGCUCGGCCUGAAACCCCAUCUGUGACCAUCUGUGUUCUCACUGUGCUGCGUGCUGAAGGACAAAACAUUUCUUUCAGGAGAAGUUGAAAUUAAGAGACCAGCAUCACCU